UAGAUACUUUCUUCGUCACAAAAUUUUUGUCUUAAAUUUGUCUAAAUACAGAUGUAUCAAGUCACGUUUUAGUAUUAGAUAUAUUCAUAUCUAAAUAAAUCUAAGGUAAGAAUUUUAGGGCUAAAGGAGGAUAAU
rnacentral:pre_miRNA from 1 species